rnacentral:rRNA from 1 species
AGAUUGAACGCUGGCGGCAGGCCUAACACAUGCAAGUCGAGCGGCAGCACGGGUACUUGUACCUGGUGGCGAGCGGCGGACGGGUGAGUAAUGCCUAGGAAUCUGCCUGGUAGUGGGGGAUAACGCUCGGAAACGGACGCUAAUACCGCAUACGUCCUACGGGAGAAAGCAGGGGACCUUCGGGCCUUGCGCUAUCAGAUGAGCCUAGGUCGGAUUAGCUAGUUGGUGAGGUAAUGGCUCACCAAGGCGACGAUCCGUAACUGGUCUGAGAGGAUGAUCAGUCACACUGGAACUGAGACACGGUCCAGACUCCGUACGGGGGCACGACG